GACGAACGCUGGCGGCGUGCUUAACACAUGCAAGUCGAACGGAAAGGCCCUGCUUUUGUGGGGUGCUCGAGUGGCGAACGGGUGAGUAACACGUGAGUAACCUGCCCUUGACUUUGGGAUAACUUCAGGAAACUGGGGCUAAUACCGGAUAGGAGCUCCCGCUGCAUGGUGGGGGUUGGAAAGUUUCGGCGGUUGGGGAUGGACUCGCGGCUUAUCAGCUUGUUGGUGGGGUAGUGGCUUACCAAGGCUUUGACGGGUAGCCGGCCUGAGAGGGUGACCGGCCACAUUGGGACUGAGAUACGGCCCAGACUCCUACGGGAGGCAGCAGUGGGGAAUAUUGCACAAUGGGCGGAAGCCUGAUGCAGCAACGCCGCGUGCGGGAUGACGGCCUUCGGGUUGUAAACCGCUUUCGCCUGUGACGAAGCGUGAGUGACGGUAAUGGGUAAAGAAGCACCAGCUAACUACGUG
rnacentral:rRNA from 1 species